GUCUACAGCCAUACCACCCUGAACACACCCCCAUCUCAUCUGAUCGCAGAAGCUAAGCAGGGUGGGGCCUGGUUAGUACUUGGAUUACCUGGUUAGUACUUAAUGUUAAGGGAGUCUGGCAGUAGUGCAGC
ensembl:rRNA 5S_rRNA 5S ribosomal RNA